rnacentral:rRNA from 1 species
UCUUAUUAUUCUUGAGAAUACCUGAUCUCAUCAGAUCUCUGAAGAAAAGCAAGAGCUGGGCUUGGUUAAUACUUGGAUGAAAGACCACUGGGAAUACCAGGUGAGAC